UACGGGGGGGGCAAGCGUUGUUCGGAAUUACUGGGCGUAAAGGGCUCGUAGGCGGCCAACUAAGUCAGACGUGAAAUCCCUCGGCUUAACCGGGGAACUGCGUCUGAUACUGGAUGGCUUGAAUUCGGGAGAGGGAUGCAGAAUUCCAGGUGUAGCGGUGAAAUGCGUAGAUAUCUGGAGGAACACCGGUGGCGAAGGCGGCGCUCUGGACCGAGACUGACGCUGAGGCGCGAAAGCGUGGGGAGCAAACAGG
rnacentral:rRNA from 1 species